CAGAGACUCAAGGGUUGUAUCCAUGUGUUGUAUCAGUGACAGAAUGGUGGAGAUCACAGAUGAGGAGCCAGUGGCAUUUGUAAAGGAGAGUUUGACUUAUCAAAAGGUAAAGUGGAAGUAGAAACGGACACCACUGCUCUCAAGACUGCUUUGCAAAAGCUACUUUUCAAUGAGCCAUUGGGGAACAAGCAGUGCAAAUUUCCUGAUUUUCUUCUCAACAUAGCAUCAACAGUGCAAUUUAAAGCCAAUUCUGCUCAAAAGAAAUAGGUUACUUAUAAUAACUUGUGAGGAAUAACUUCAAAGGAAGCUGUCUAUUAUCUUAUGCUUUUAGUUGUGAAACGUUUACUAUUAAUGUCUUUAUUUUAUUGACCAUCAUGCCUUAAUAUUAAUUAAUAUCUUACACAAAUAUGUUUCUUCUUUGAGAAAUAUGGUCCUUCAUACACUCCUUAGGGUACAAAGGCAGAUCAAAAGCUGGAUUCAAUUUACAGACUACAUAUGAUAUAAACAGGAAGCAAACUGAGCAGAGGAAUUGGUCUUUCAAAAGGUAAAAAUUCACUACUUCUGAGGGAAAAUAAGAAGAAGAAUAAAAAAAAAUAUGGGCACUGUUAAAAAAUGUAUAGGGAAAUUGGCAUGCAGGGACUCUCACCUAUCAGAAUCAGCUUCAUUGGCAUCACUGGAAAGAACACAGUGGGCAAGUGGGUGCUUCAAGGAGCUGAGGCUUCCUACGCAGUGCUAUUAUGCAGAGCUUACUGAGAAGUAAGUAUGUCUAAGAUUCUCUCUAAUAGAUGGAAAUAUGUUCUAACAAGGAACAUAGAGAAUAAACAUGCAAUGAACACUCUAAGGAAAGCACACUUCUGCACUGAAGUCAGCUUAAUGAAUGAUAUGGUGUCUUUUUAAAAGUCAAAGCAGAUUUUUCUGAUUGAAAUGAGACAUUGGGGAUUUUUUAACAAAAACAAAGCAAAAGCUAGCAAACAGCUCUCUAAGGUCCUCUCUAAGGACCAAGGUAUCUUACAGUUGGGCCUCAUCAACUCUUUCUUUCUAACCCCUCCCGCUCUUCCAUAGCAUUUACUGAACUUUGGUAAGAAGAAUUGAUCUAGCUGUAUAAGUUUUAAUAUGCUAGCAAGUUAAACCAUGGGAUUAUUUUCUAGGGAGCGCUUUGUAACUUUCUAUAACAAAUGUUCUGAAAAUACCUUGAGCUGGUUUUCAGCAGUGUCUGAACAGAUUGUGUUGAGAAUGAUCUAAGUGAUGCUCUUCAUGUGGAUCACCUCUAAACAAAUCGUCACUCAUCUGGGCAUCGACAACAUUGGCUCAAAGGUGGACUCAGAACUGAAGUUUGUCUGAUCAGAGUAACUCUUGAUUUACGGGACCGGUAAUAACUUUCAGAAAAGUUAUAUAAUCUUUUCACUGAACUCAGAGCUCUGAAGAAAUGAGAUGAUGGUAGAGGCGACAUGUUUGCUGCAAAACGAACUCGAACAUGCCACAUGUAAAGUCAACAAGAGAAACUGAGAAAGGUUCUGUGGUAGGAUUAUGGACUACUAGACUCUUAGAAAAGAGCCUGGUUGGAAUUCCUGAAUCAAACUAAUCUGAAAUAACUGUACCACCUGUGCAGUUCUUUGUCAAGAGGGCAACGGAUUAUGCUUUGCGAGUCGCUAUUCUCUUUCACUUGCAGAAGGGUUAUAGUAACUUCUGAAGGAAAUUCAUACUGGCAUACCAUGAUGUGAGUUUCUCUGCCCACUUUACUUUUCUGAAGUCACUCUCGAUGACGCUAGUGUCAUUUCAGUGCAAGGUAAAUAUACCAUGUGAUUAUCACCAUGUACUUCUCUGAUAAGUAGUUACACUGGAUCUUUCUCCUUUCAUUCACAGUACAGGAAACUCAAGACUUCCCUCUGUUUUAACUCAGUUAGAUAUAUUUGGUAUGAUUAUUGUCAUUUGAUGAAGAGUCAUAGCGGCAGAGAUACAGAAGGAGCAGACCCGUGCUUUAUGCAUGAUCUAAUUUUUCUGAAUUAUACCUUCUAAUAGAGUAACCCUACAUAUAUGGUCUCAUAUGUGAUAGUGGUUUUAGAAAAGAAAUGAAAUUUGUGAGUGCUAUAACUAAAAUACUCAAUUAUCAAACUCGUUUUUAAGUCUAUUUAGUUAAAUUAUUUAAGACAUGCCAAGCAAGUUAAUUUAGUAUUAAUGCUAUGCUUGUACUUGCCAAAUUACCAUAGCUAAAAAUAAGACUUCCUAACUGGCAAGACAAAAUUUAUGUACAGUCAGUUGUUUUUAAGUCAUACAAAUCCAGAGUUAGGAUUGUACCUGAGCAACAGAGUGUUCAUCUGACACAGGCGACACACUGGGUUCUAUCACUAACACUUUAAAUUGAAACCAAAAGCAAAACAAUACACAGUCAAACUCAGCCACACACAUUCCAAGUAGAAGAGGCAGGAUAACACACAACAAGCUAGAAUUAUUUUUCUAUUAUGUGACAUAAAUUUCAAGGUAUCAACUUGUCAAGUCUCCAAAAUGUCUAGAUUUCAUCUAAUUGUUGCCAAAGACAUGCCAAGUUUACCUACAUGUACAGUUGUUUCUUGUUAAAUACUGACCAAUCUCACUUUUGUUUUAUAUGUUGCCAUUACUAGUAAUGGGAAGAACUGCUUUGUCCUGGGAUAAAUACACUAUGUUAAAUUUAAUUUUCAAACAUGUACUAUAACUGCAUUCUUUUUAAGUUUGUGAGUUGGAGAUAAAGCUAGCAGUUAAGAGCAUAUACUGCUCUUCCAGAGGACCCAAGUGUGAUUCCCAGCACCUACACAAAGUAGCGAACAACCUCCUAUGACAAAGGCUCAAAGGAAUCCAUUGUCUUCCACUGCUAUCCAUAGGAACUGCACACACACACACACACACACAAAAUUUUAAAAUAAAAAUAAUUAAUAAAAAGUUUAAUAAAAUAAAACCUUAAAACUAAAUGCAUAUAUGUUU